GGGAAGUUGGCCGAGUGGUUAUGGCGCUAGGUUUAGGCUUAAGCGACCGGAGUUAUCUUUCGGUCGCCGAUUGGCGAUCCCUAGUUUCGAAAGAUUCGCGAGUUCGAAUCUCGCACUUCUCA